UUUGCACUGAUGUAGUCAGAGAACGGCAGGAAGUACAGGAGAAAGGUAUAACCCAAUAACUUAACUCAAGGGGAAAUGUAAUAUGAGCUCAUUUCCAAACAUGGGACAGUAUCACUUUAACAUCCGAGUUGGCAGCUGAUAUAAAGACUCAUCAGACCAGGCCUACAUUUUUUACAAUACAAGACUAGAGAAAGUAUUGCCUGGACUGUUUCUGCUGCCAACUCGGAUGGCUGCCUUGUUCCACACACACACAGGUGCAUAUAUUUUAUUAUUAUUAUUAUUAUUUCAUUCCAGAAUUCCUGCUGCCCGUUCUUCAUUUCCAUUUUCAUGAAUAUCACUUUCCAAUUUCUAGGUAUUAUGACAGCACACAUUGCAAUUUUCAUCAAUGAAAAAAUGAAAAGGGGGAUUUUCUCCAUGAUCCUCAAUUUUUAAUUUAGAAACAGUCAUUUUUAGCUGCAAAACUUACUAUGUUCAUGUAACCCAGUUGACAAAUGCAUAUUAAAAACGUAUUAGUUGAUUAAAUAGCAUAAAUUGUAAAAUGGGAUAAUAAAUAGUGAUAAUACUGAUAAGGCAAUUCAUGAAUGAAGGUUUGGUAUCGUUAAAAACACGAUUAACAUAGCAGGACUUUUACUGUGACAGUUACGUUAUGGGACUUUUAUUUUGACAUGCGUUUCCACGCAUUCAGCUUUCCGUGGAGCCGUUCCAGUCAGUUGAGCUGAGAAGAGCUCGAAAGCUGAAGGAAAGACUUCGUUUCUUCGGCUCCACCUUGGAGCUAGAUAUUGAUAGAAAAUUAAUUCUAAGUUAAAGAUACCUACUUCUAAGUUUCAUUUUGGACCACCGAGCGACCUGCUCUGUAAAUCUUUUGUGUUUUGAAGAGCAAGAAGCUGCGCUUCGUCGUGUAUUGUUUCUGUUGAAUCGUCUCGGUGAAGUUUUUUGGACCUGGAUUCCGCUGUGGAUUGAUGACUACGUUUGAUGGCGAGCCACCCACCCCAUUGAGUCGGAUCCUGUCCUGUGUCAUUGUACGUGGCGCAUAAGCUUAUGUGGUAGGGUUGUGACCUGCCUGUGUCACAACAACACUGACUGACUGACUUGAGUUGUUACUUUAACGGUUUACAAACUGAACUAAGGCCUUGAACUGAACGGAACUACUAUAAAGGAACUACUUUUUCUUUUUUUUUUCUUGAACAACUGAAAGGAACUCUUUUCUCUUUGAGGAUUUAAAGGACUGAUUUAAAGGACUGUUCCCAACUUUUGGAAAAUAGACAAUUACUCACUUUUGAAGGACAAUUCAUUUUAUUUUAUUUUAAAGGGUCAAUUCUUUUCUUUUAUUUUGGGAAUAUGUACAUAUUUUCUACCUUGCAAUUCAUAACUAAAGAAAGAAAAAAAGUA